UACAGAGGGGGCAAGUGUUGUUCGGAAUUACUGGGCGUAAAGGGCGCGUAGGCGGCCUUCUAAGUCGAACGUGAAAUCCCCGGGCUCAACCCGGGAACUGCGUCCGAUACUGGAAGGCUUGAAUCCGGGAGAGGGAUGCGGAAUUCCAGGUGUAGCGGUGAAAUGCGUAGAUAUCUGGAGGAACACCGGUGGCGAAGGCGGCAUCCUGGACCGGCAUUGACGCUGAGGCGCGAAAGCCAGGGGAGCAAACGGG
rnacentral:rRNA from 1 species